CGAAUGGCUCAUUAAAUCAGUUAUGGUUCCUUGGACGGGCGCAGUUACUUGGAUAACUGUGGUAAUUCUAGAGCUAAUACAUGCAUUUCAGUCACGACCCGAAAGGGGAAGGACGCUUUUAUUAGAUCAAAACCAACCGGCCGGCUCGACCGGUCGCUUCGUUUUGGUGACUCUGGAUAACUUUGUGCCGAUCGCACGGUCUACGCACCGGCGACGUGUUCUUCAAAUGUCUGCCUUAUCAACUGACGAUGGUAGGUUCCGCGCCUACCAUGGUUGUAACGGGUAACGGGGAAUCAGGGUUCGAUUCCGGAGAGGGAGCCUGAGAAACGGCUACCACAUCCAAGGAAGGCAGCAGGCGCGCAAAUUACCCACUCCCGGCACGGGGAGGUAGUGACGAAAAAUAACGAUACGGGACUCAUCCGAGGCCCCGUAAUCGGAAUGAGAACAUUUUAAAUCUCUUAACGAUUACCUCAUUAGAGGGCAAGUCUGGUGCCAGCAGCCGCGGUAAUUCCAGCUCUAAUAGCGUAUAUUAAAAUUGCUGCGGUUAAAAAGCUCGUAGUUCGACGUGUGUCCCGCGCGGCCGGUUCGCCGCUCGUCGGUGUCACACUGGCUUGCAUGCAGGACGUCCUGUCGGUGGGCGCGAGCCGACUGCGUUGGCGGGCGUUCAGGCUGGUGUGGUACCUUCGUGGUGAAAUUCCUCGUCGGCAGAACCCACCAGCCCGUUCGUCGCGGCCUCGCGGAAGGCGGACCCCGAUUUCACCCGCCGCGGUGCUCUUAACUGAGUGUCGUGCGGGCCGACACAAUCACUUUGAACAAACUAACGUGCUUCACGCAGGCAAUAUACCGCUCGAAUAGUCGUGCAUGGAAUGGUUGAAUAAGAGUUUGCUUCCAGCUUGUUGGUUGGCGGAAGGCAACCUAAUGAUUAACGGAGAUGGCCGGGGGCAUCCGUAUUGCGACGUUAGAGGUGAAAUUCUUGGAUCGUCGCAAGACGAACUGGAGCGAAAGCGUUUGCCAAGUAUGUUUUCGUCAAUCAAGAACGAAAGUUAGAGGUUCGAAGGCGAUCAGAUACCGCCCUAGUUCUAACCAUAAACUAUGCCAACUAGCGAUCCGCUGUGUGUCUUCGAUGUCACGGCGGGCAGCCCCCGGGAAACCAAAGUCUUUGGGUUCCGGGGGAAGUAUGGUUGCAAAGCUGAAACUUAAAGGAAUUGACGGAAGGGCACCACCAGCCGUGGAGCCUGCGGCUUAAUUUGACUCAACACGGGGAACCUCACCAGGCCAGGACACCGGAAGGAUUGACAGAUUGAGAGCUCUUUCUUGAUUCGGUGGGUGGUGGUGCAUGGCCGUUCUUAGUUGGUGGAGUGAUUUGUCUGCUUAAUUGCGAUAACGAACGAGAUCCUACCCUACUAACUAGUCGAAACCGGCAUCCCCUGUGCAGCCGGCGACUCAAAAUCUUCUUAGAGGGACAGGCGGCUUCCAGCCGCACGAAGUGGGGCAAUAACAGGUCUGUAAUGCCCUUAGAUGUUCUGGGCAGCACGCGCGCUACACUGAAGGGAUCAACGUGUGUUUUCCUUGCUCGAGAGGGCCGGGUAACCCGUUGAAACUCCUUCGUGCUAGGGAUUGGGGCUUGCAAUUGUUCCCCACCAACGAGGAAUGCCUAGUAAGCGGGAAUCAUGAGUUCCCGCUGAUUAUGUCCCUGCCCUUUGUACACACCGCCCGUCGCUACUACCGAUUGAAUAUUUUAGUGAGGUCUUCGGACUAGCCCGCGGCCCCUCUCUAGGGGCUCCGUAGGCCGGAAAGAUGACCGAACUUGAAUAUUUAGAGGAAGUAAAAGUCGUAACAAGGUUUCCGUAGGUGAACCUGCG
rnacentral:rRNA from 1 species